AUUGAACGCUAGCGGGAUGCGUUACACAUGCAAGUCGAACGGCAGCACGGACUUCGGUCUGGUGGCGAGUGGCGAACGGGUGAGUAAUGUAUCGGAACGUGCCUAGUAGCGGGGGAUAACUACGCGAAAGCGUAGCUAAUACCGCAUACGCCCUACGGGGGAAAGCAGGGGAUCGCAAGACCUUGCACUAUUAGAGCGGCCGAUAUCGGAUUAGCUAGUUGGUGGGGUAACGGCUCACCAAGGCGACGAUCCGUAGCUGGUUUGAGAGGACGACCAGCCACACUGGGACUGAGACACGGCCCAGACUCCUACGGGAGGCAGCAGUGGGGAAUUUUGGACAAUGGGGGAAACCCUGAUCCAGCCAUCCCGCGUGUGCGAUGAAGGCCUUCGGGUUGUAAAGCACUUUUGGCAGGAAAGAAACGUCAUGGGUUAAUACCCCGUGAAACUGACGGUACCUGCAGAAUAAGCACCGGCUAACUACGUGCCAGCAGCCGCGGUAAUACGUAGGGUGCAAGCGUUAAUCGGAAUUACUGGGCGUAAAGCGUGCGCAGGCGGUUCGGAAAGAAAGAUGUGAAAUCCCAGAGCUUAACUUUGGAACUGCAUUUUUAACUACCGAGCUAGAGUGUGUCAGAGGGAGGUGGAAUUCCGCGUGUAGCAGUGAAAUGCGUAGAUAUGCGGAGGAACACCGAUGGCGAAGGCAGCCUCCUGGGAUAACACUGACGCUCAUGCACGAAAGCGUGGGGAGCAAACAGG
rnacentral:rRNA from 1 species